UAAAGUCUACAGGACAACUGAUCUAGUACAAUUAUAUAGACAAGAUGAUACCAUGUAUUCAUUUAAACAUUUGUUUUCUUUACUUAAGUGGUGAUAUCUGUAUUGGUGGCAUCAUUUUUCCCCUUAUAGACUCUAUCUGUCAUAAUCCUGUUUCAUUGCUUUACUUAGAAGCAAUUAGUUUCAUGUUAUAUAUCUUUAAAAUAUUCCCAAUUAGCCUCAUGUUACAGGCAAACUGCCAGGCAUAAGGCAAAACAAAACUAGAAAUGCUGUGUGAUCUUUCUGUUUUGAGAUGUUCACCAAUUGACCUUCUAUUUCAAAUAUUUGUGUUCGUGUGUGUGGUGUGUGUGUGUGUAUGUACCUUUUUAGAUUCAUUUGACUUAAUGUGAGGCUUGUUAGUGUCUUGUUACGCUUGUUGGAACUAAAGUCAAACCACUUUAAUUCUUAUGGAAACUAGAGGGAACGAGUAAAUAGAAUCUUGACGCUUGUGUCAUCUUGACCUGGUGCAACACAGGGAGCUCAAGAGCCAGGAAGAUGGACUGUAUAUUGUAGACAUAAGGUCAAGUGUCUGUCCUCCAAAGCUUCCUGUCUAUUCACUAUUCUGGGACAUUUCUAGACUAUGCAAUAUUGUCAAAAUCCUUGCCUAUUGGUAUUUACAUCCUUAAAUGACGUUAAGAGUUAAGAAAGGAAGGAAGGAAAGAAGAAGGAAGAAAGGAAAGAAGACAGAAGGAAGAAAGGAAGGAAGGGGCCAGUUAGUAAAUAAUUACUACACAACUCUGGAAAGGAGCCAUGUUAUUGGAUUAGUGAACAGUAGUGGACAGUAUGUGAUAUCAUGGUUAAGGGAUGGAUCCUCCAAAAGUAAAAGAGCCUGUGUGGGACAAAAACCUAAAAAUGACCCUGAAGGCAGUUCUACUGUCUCAAAAAACGAAGACUUUCAGGUCAUUCUUCAACAUUCACUGAAGACAUCAGCAUCAGCACCACUUCAGUAAGCCCUGCUGGAACCCCGAGGGGCUCCAACAUCCAUGUGUAACAACGGUAGAGGAAAAUGAUGGACAGCACAGCUUCUGAACCGGACACACUUCAGGCAUUAUCUCCUAAGGACCCUCUAUUAAAUGAGUUUUUAGAAAUGUAAAAGACAUAAAAGACAUGUACCAAGGUGGACUGGCUAUGAGGUUGUGGGUACAAGCAGAAGUCACUCUUCUAGGAAAGCCAGC
rnacentral:lncRNA from 1 species